CCCACCACACGGCGAACUACCCGAGAAAGAGCGCAAUCACUUAAUGCACGAACACGACUAUGACAAUGAAGAACAUGGUGACCUUACUGAGAAAGAGAGCAAUUGUCGAUACACCAACACGAUUAUAAACGUCCCGUCGAAGACCUCCACACCUCGUUUUAGAAAAGGCAGUGAUAACUCAACGGACUACAAAAAUAGUGAGUCUCAUUUCAUUAAAAUAGGCGGACAACUCGACGAGUUAAUACCUCCUGUCGGUCCGAAAUCAAGUACGCCUUCUGUCAGUCCGAAAUCAAGUACGCCUUGUGUCAGUCCGAAAUCAAGCACGCCUUCUGUCAGUCCGAAAUCAAACACGCCUUCUGUCAGUACGAAAUCAAGUCCGGCUCCUUUUAGUCCAAAAUCAAGUCCACCUUCUACCGCUACAAGAUCAACUCCCCCUACUUCUGGUCUAGAAUCAGCUCGGUCUCUUCCUGGGACAUGGCACACUCGUUAAGGAAAAGUAGCCGGUUCUCAAAUGGCUACAACUGUGAACGGCCUCCCGUUAGUUCCUAUACCGGCAACGAGACGUAAAGGUCGACGCGCAGCACUUUAGCCUGGCAUCGGCUAAGUAACGGUUUACGUUGUGUCUUCCUACGGGCACCGCACACGUACACCGGUUCACGGUACCACAAGGUUGAAAGUGCCAGGCCUGUAACGUUCCUCUCGUGUGUACACUCCCACAAGUCCUGGAUGUAGUAGUUGUCCGGUGACAAUUGACCCACCGAUCCAGACAACUCCGUUCCGAUUCUCUAUUAGGCGUCUAAUUCGGUUUUCUCUAUAACGUCCUAUAAGCCCUGGUCGUACCCCAACGACACAGAAUAUACGUCCGUACCGCGCCUUUCCUCUCUUCGUACCGACGACAAGUACCAUGGGAACUCCUACCUAUAGCGGAAGAAGGACGUAUGACACUCGUCUAACCUUUCUGUUUAGGACCAUCACAACGUCAUAUGUUUCCCCGACCCGGCCUCUUAAGGAAGGUUGCCGAGAAACAAAGUAAAGUAAGUAGAUAAAUACCAAAGAAUUUACGCACAUCUGGGGAAAACCUUUAACUGUUCCGCCUAGAUUUCCCGUUCAUAGAACCCUGUAACGAUACACGAAGCCGACAACUACGACUAGUGUACUACAAGGGACAUCGUAAACCACAGCAACUAAGACUUUCACUACUCUUGACCUACACCAAAUAGAGUCUUGACUCCUUCUACGAACCACAAUUGUGCCUAUUCUACGGACAGAAAUGUUAUUAGAGACUCUCUGUUGGUGUCCACCAACUUCGACAGCUCCAGUUGAAGGGUUGACGAAAAGUACCUAAAACGAACUCUGUACACUCACUCUUAAAGGCGCUCCUCAAGUUCUCAGGAUUUGAAGACUUGGAAAAGACCCCACGGCAAAUACGAGAGUGUUGUCGUCUUAAACUAAGUUUCCAUUUUCUAUACUACGUUCAAGUUCUACAGUACGGUACCAAGGUCUUAAAAGGUGGUUUGGAGACCCGUCAACGAAUGAAACUCCCAUAGUCUAUACCGGUAAAAUCAGAACGAUAUUGACUCUAUAAUAUAUUGACCCGGGACCUCACAGUACUCGAAGGGUAACACGUUUGACAACUUAUGUAGUCCGUGGUUGAUUGGACGACCAAAUGACUUGCAGUGUUAAACCGUAAUAGGGAAUUGAGUCAAGAACAAGGUAGACGACUCUUUGAAUAAAGACUUAGGUAAAGACUAAGUUCUACAAUAGUUCAUGAGGCUCGUUUGUUCCACCUCAAACUCUAGCACAGUAGACUCGCUUGUUUGUAACACCUAUGAGUUUGGUCCAAGACGAGCACGGCAGCCACCGUUUAAAUACCAUAAGGUACACGUGUACGACGACGACGUGAUGAAAGUACACCACUUCUAGGAGCGGACAUACGUGUACUAACGAAAUCACAUUACUUCAUAUCCCUUUGAAUGAGAGUCGUCUAGAUAGGUUAAGGUCUGUCCUAGGUGACCUCGUUAAGCAGGAGACCCGGCGCUCCAGAUAUGUUUAGUCUGUACUAUGAAGCGGGUGGCUUCUAGGCUUCUGGAGGACCGGCAGGGUUUUACUUCUAAGAGUUCUACCUUUCGAACUUUGCCGGCUUUGCCUAGCAAGUCACACCGACCACAGUAGAAGAACCCGUAAGAGUCUUUUUCACAAGUAAUGCUUCGACUGUAUAUAAAGAUAGGCGGAGGGAAGAAAAUACAGGUUAUCAUAAUCAAAAGUCGUCAAGGGAACAACCGUAAACCGUUCCAUCCGUUUCAAGAAAGACAAAGAAGUCUAAUCUCUCAUGAUAGUACAUAGGCCGCUACUAAUAUCCAGAAAAAAAGACGUGUAUAAAAGUACAUUGUGCCCCGGUCGAUAGAGGGGACACUGUCGAAGAGCAAUCAAUAAGUUCAUCUAUCUUCUUUAACACGACCAAUAACAACCACAACUCUCCGACGUUCGCUCCUGACUGAAGAAUCUUGGUACUUGUCAAUUUUAUUAAUAAUAUAGACAAGGG
rnacentral:rRNA from 1 species